AUGAUGAAUGGGGACAUUGCUGAGGUCAACGAUGCUGUUGGAGCUGAAGCUGUGAAUGGUGCUGUGCCUACAUUGGUUGACAAUGCUGACGUGGAGAGCGAGAAUCCUGAGUACACUGUAGUAUCUGAGCAGGUAGAUGAGUAUGUAGAUAUAGAUGAUGAGAUGCCAACCGCAACUUAUCAAUCAGUGGAGAUCGAGAAGGGUGCCGAGGCCAUGAGUGUCUCUGGUGGUUCGGGUAGUGGUUCUUCAUCAUCCAGUGGAUCAGGGUCAGGGAGCUCAGGGGACAGCACCUCAGAAGCUGGCAAUGCUCUGAGGUUGCGAAUGGUGCUGUUCCUACAUGUGUUGUUCUCGUUUUCAGUUAGUGCAUAUGCAAAUUGGACUCUCAGUUGUUCUGUUUUGUUUUGCUAUUUGCAGGUUACAGGAGAGUGCGAAUCCUGA
rnacentral:rRNA from 1 species